CGUUGCCUCAGGAGCUUCAACCAGGAGAGCCAUGCAGUCUUUUCACUCGGCCUUGUUCACGAUGGCGGAGUCAUCUGCGGCGGCCUGGGAAACAACCAGAUCUCAGUGUGGAGACACUCGGAUGCCACUCACCUUCUCACGUUGAGAAGCAAGCUUCACGCCGGUGCUGUCAAGUCGCUGCUUGUGGCUGGCGACAAGCUCUUCAGCGCUCACCAGGACAAGAAGAUCCGGGUGUGGCGGCUUUCCAAAUCCAACCACACGCAGCACACUCUCGUCGCGACGCUUCCAACUCUCAAGGACCUAGUAGCAGAAUCGACGUCAUCAAGGUUCUCGAGCAAAAAGAACAAGGCCGCAAGAUCAGUCCAACAUACCGACGUAGUGUCCGCGCUAGCUCUCGGCGACGGCGUCGUGUACUCGGCCUCCUGGGACAAGACUGUCAAGGUUUGGAGGCUGUCCGAUCUCAAAUGCAUCGAGUCGUUCGUGGCUCACGACGAUGCAGUCAAAGCUCUGGUGGCAAAAGCGGGAUUUCUCUACACAGCCUCUGCAGACUCAAAGAUCAAGAUCUGGAAAAGAGAAGCGAGCGACAAGAAAAGUAGUAAAACUUACCACAGGCACUUGUUGGCCAGAGUUCUUGAGCGUCCAGGCAAUUGCUCCAGCGCAGUGAAUGCAUUGGCACUGGGUGGCGAUGGAGGAGAUGACAAGGUUCUCUACGGCGGAUCCAGCGACUCAUCCAUCUCCGUGUGGGAAUUAAAUCCCGACAUGGAAGCCGUGAGCUUGAGUGGCCUUCUCAGCGGCCACACACAAGCAGUAGCUUGCCUGGCAACACUCCGCGAUCUCCUGUGUAGUGGCUCUGCCGAUAAAACCAUAAGAUUGUGGAGAAGAGAGCGAAAGCAAGGAUACUCACCAUCGCAUAUUUCCCUGUCCGUUGUCCAAGGCCACACCGGCCCCGUCAAAUCGAUCGUGCUCGCCCCCGACAGGAUCGGCCUGUGUAGCAUCACCAGUGGAAGCCUCGACGGCCAGGCCAAAAUGUGGAGAGUCUAUCCCUGCCAGGAGCGAGACGAAGAAGAGGAAGAAUCUCCCCAGUCAGAGCGCUUCUACUUCAAUAGCAGCGAUCCACUCACCGCGAGAAGCGAGGCGCAGCAGUGGAAGCUCAGCACGAUCAAGCACGCCCUAGACGAAGGCGGCCACUUCUUCCGCCUUGCAUUUGAUACUCUCCAAUGCUCAUAGCCAAGAACCCUAGUUUUUUUAAAUUCUAGGGUUCUUCCUUCUUUAAUGCAAGUGUAUACUACAGAUCAUCUCCUGAAAGCCC
rnacentral:lncRNA from 1 species